UUUCGGAAGUGUAUUCAAUUCAGUCACUGUCUCUCCACCAUUCUUCCGUCAAUCUCUUCUUCCGAAUUGUCCUCCAAUCUUUGUUGUUGCCGACUCCUCCACUAUUCUGAUUCUAAAACCCUAAUCAGCCCAAUCCACAAACACAGAAACAAAAAAACGGAAUAGAAAAUCGUCGAUGAAAUCCAAAUCUAGAAGAAAAUUGGUCGCACGUUCGAUUCUGAUUGAGUUUUAGUUUGCUUGCCCCUGAUUCUAAUCGCCCGUGCAUUCAAUUUCAGUUCAAAGCGGCCGCUAGUUGGAGAAGAAUCGGUUACCCCACAAAUUCUCUCGGUCAUUCUCCAACCUACACGAAAAGAAUUGAAUUUGCUUGCCAUUGGUUUUAUUUUGCUUGCCACUGACACAUAUAUUCAUUAAGAUAAUGUUUUUGUUCUUGCCUGCAAGCAAGCUUUUUCACACACUUGUUGGAGCACAACAAGUGUGUGAGCUAUGGGCGGAUGCUGAGAAGAGGUAAAACUGACGUUCUUCCUUGAAGUGGAGACGUAUAUGAGGGAAAGGUUAAUAAUGAUUGGAAGUGUGGCCUUACUAACAAGCAGUUCAAGUCAUUGCAGUUGCUCCGUGCGAAAUACUUCACAGCUAUGUUAUACAGUUCAGAAAACAAGUUUGUAGAUGUCGUGAUAACUACGACAACAAGCCCCAUUCAUGAGGCACGAAAGAAGGGACCCGUUGAACUUGAAACGAUGAUGGAAGAGUAGACCAAACCUUGAAUUCUGAAUGAUGUUUUUUUGACAAUGACCACAACUUUGUUUGUUUUGAAUUUGUUGGACGAAAUCUAGCUACUCAAUGAGUAUUGGAAUAUUUUUCUGUAGACAUUACUGGUUUUUGAAGUCAAGUUAUUUUUGUCAUUAA